rnacentral:misc_RNA from 1 species
GUGAAGUUAUAAGAGCGCUCGAAAGAGGCUCGACUACACUUUUCUUACACUGUGAACUUGAUUUUUCAACUUGUCCGAAAGGACUUGUUCGAAACCCUAGUCUUAAUAGAAGUCUCGAAUGUAACCUUUGAUAAACGAAAGUAA